rnacentral:rRNA from 1 species
GCUCAACCGGGGAGGGUCAUUGGAAACUGGGGAACUUGAGUGCAGAAGAGGAGAGUGGAAUUCCACGUGUAGCGGUGAAAUGCGUAGAGAUGUGGAGGAACACCAGUGGCGAAGGCGACUCUCUGGUCUGUAACUGACGCUGAGGCGCGAAAGCGUGGGGAGCGAACAGGAUUAGAUACCCUGGUAGUCCACGCCGUAAACGAUGAGUGCUAAGUGUUAGAGGGUUUCCGCCCUUUAGUGCUGCAGCAAACGCAUUAAGCACUCCGCCUGGGGAGUACGGUCGCAAGACCGAAACUCAAAGGAAUUGACGGGGGCCCGCACAAGCGGUGGAGCAUGUGGUUUAAUUCGAAGCAACGCGAAGAACCUUACCAGGUCUUGACAUCCUCUGACAACCCUAGAGAUAGGGCUUCCCCUUCGGGGGCAGAGUGACAGGUGGUGCAUGGUUGUCGUCAGCUCGUGUCGUGAGAUGUUGGGUUAAGUCCCGCAACGAGCGCAACCCUUGAUCUUAGUUGCCAGCAUUCAGUUGGGCACUCUAAGGUGACUGCCGGUGACAAACCGGAGGAAGGUGGGGAUGACGUCAAAUCAUCAUGCCCCUUAUGACCUGCGCUACACACGUGCUACAAUGGGCAGAACAAAG